AUGAAUUAUCAAGGUUCUUAACUGAUAAACAAAAAUUUACUCAUGAAAUAUAAAUCAAUACAAAUUCCUGUUUUUCUCUGAUGUUUUUGAUUCUGGGCGAAUAACGACGUAUGUGUUGGUUUUAGAGUGGUUUAUGUAUUUCUUCUGUUUGUCAUCACUUUCUGGAACAAUAAAAAUGUUUCGAUUUUCAAUUUUUGGGUUAAUAUUUUUUAUCAGAAAACAUCUUUCAAGUUGAUGAAUUACUCAAUUUUAUUUUCACAAAUAAAAAGCAUAUACAUCAAUGUAACUCGCAGAUCAAAAAAAUAUGUAUUGCCGCAGGUGACUCUUUUAAUAAAAUUAUCUAUAAGUAUUUUAAAAUAUGGUGUUUAAAUAUAUACUUACAAUUAUUUAUUAUUGGAAUACGAAUAAAUAAAUUAUUUAAGGAAAAACAAUGAUAGUGAGCAUACUUGAUGAAUCAUCCCGUACAUAUAAGAAAGGUCGACCAGUUGUCGAAUACUUGUACUUGUGCAUGCAUGUAUUUAAGUAUAUAAUAUGUGUCAUGUAUGUCUAGUACAUGUUCUACGACGGCGACGGUCAAGUGUUUAUAAUAUGUAAGUACCUUCACAUAUUAUAUACAAGUGAAAAUGCCGUACUGCCAUUUUAGCCGCGUGCAAGCAAAUAAUACAAUUUUAAUGUUCACACAAACAUAUUAUCUUAAAUUAUGCGAUUUUGGUACGAUGGAGUGGUUUCUGUACGAACAUCAUACCCGCGAACCUUUUUAAUGCGUUUCGCGAAGAUUCAUCGCGAUUUGAAAGCAUGAAAUGGUCGACGCUAUAACACAUCUCAAAUGUGUAUGUGUGAACUCUCCGUUACAAUUGUGUGCAGCCUAUUAUGCGUUAUGUAUCUAGAAACGAUCUACAAAAAAAAUUACUACGGCAGUUUGCAAAUAAUAUGCGAUCGACAAAUAAAUCGCUUGGAGCCCUGAAGUGUUUUUUGUCAAAUACAUUUAUUUAUAGAACCUACUGAGUUAAUGAAAAAUGUACUAAUAGGUGAUUAUUAGUAUGAUAAAGUUUAUUUUCUGCUGUAUAUGCGCCUAAAAAUGCGGAUUCAGUAUACGAAUUACGAUACAUCGUAUCGUAAUAUUGUAUUUAUGUAAGUCGAACUCAACAAAGAUUUAUUAAUACAUUCACUUUGCAUACACAUUAAUAUAGCCUCAGUACUAUUCGAAUUACAAAAGCCGCCUGUAUACGUGUAUCAUAAAUUAUAUCGAAUUCAAGAGUGCCGUUUAUGCGGAAGUCUGCUUCGUCUUAGCGAUACAUACUAUACAGGAUGAUUUACCGAACAAGCUCACUCCUCAUUAUAUUCCUUUAGAAAUUCAGUUAUUUAAAAUCUGUUUUUUUUUUUAUAGUUUUUAAAUAUAUUUAAAAGCAUAUUUUUUUAAAUUCAUGAAAUUUUUGUACUUAUUAUAGAUUGUCCUGUAAAGAUACAUAUCUACUUAAAUUUUUCAAAGGAGAAAUCUCUUCCCUUUUCUACUGCAAAUUGUUUAGUAAAUAGUUUUUCUAAGACAUUGAUCAAAUUUAAAAUUCGAAUAAAUAGUUUUUGAGUUACUUAUAAUUUAUAUAUUGUUAUAUAUCAACGAUAAUGUAUAUGGAAAAUUUAAUAUGUUGAUAAUUGUAGUUAUUAAUCUAUCAACCUUAAUCAUUCGUGAAAAUGGUUCAAGAAUAAUAAACACUCGAUCCAAUAUUUCAUAAUAUAUUUUAAAACCGUUUUUUCUAGAAUAUCCUAAUACAAGAAGUUUUUUAAUACCUGACAAACUACCUAGGUACUCGUUCGAAUUUUAAAUUAGGUAUAUCAAUAUUUUUGAAAAAAACUGUUUCUAAUUUAAAAAAACAUAAGUUUGUAUCGUCACAGGACACUCCUUAAGUAAUACAAAAUAUCUGAAUUAUUUGAAAAUAUGGUCUUCGAAAAUUCCAAAAUUGAGAGUUUGAAUAAAUAAAUUAUUAAAUAAAAUAAUGGGGUGAGAAUGCUCAGUGAAUCACCCUGUAUAUUUUAUAUAUAAAAUAUAUUCCCGCGUUUAAAUUAUAAACAUAUAAAUAUGCUAAAUACACAGAUACACGUUUUUAAUGUUUCUAUCGUAUAGCGUUAUGAUAUAUUACAUACGUACAUUACCAUACAGUACAGUACUGUACAGUUUGGUGAAGCUGUCGAAUGUGGGGGGAAGGAGACAGUAGUAGCAGUCGCUUCCAUUCACUAUCACAUGCAGUCAUUUAAUGUUAUUAAAAUACUUAAGAUCUAAAUCUAAUCGAAUGCCAAGUUACAUUGAUAUUACCUAUGUUAUAAAGCCUUGGAAUAUUAACGCUAAAUAUAUGAAAAACGUGUCCCUAGUUCCCUGCGACGUACCAGAAAAUGUUUUCUUAUAUACCAAUACUACAUAUUUUAUAUUAUUAUAAACGACUUGGAAAAAACUUGUUUUUCGUUAAGAUAUAUUGUCGCUUAUAAGACAUUAUAAUACACAUAUACAUACCUUUACCAAUGUAAUAACUUUUAAGAUUUACGAUAAAGUAAGUAUAGGUAAUUCGUCCGAGGCCCUCCUCUUUUUGAAGGCUAUACCCGCCACGUCUGGAACUUUACUCUCGUAUCAUUGCACACGUACACUCUGUAGUGUACUAUUCAGAACACAUGAACUGCACACACCGAGUUUAUUAGUGAUUUUAUUUUGGAUUUCGGACUUCCGAUAUUAAUAAUAUGCGAAUGCGAACAAUCCUUGGAGUAGUUAUAUUUUAUUUUUAUGUUACAUAAUAUGACUAUAUAAAACACAAGUAUUUUUCGAUGAGCGUCGUAAAAUGUUAUCAAACGAAAUCUUCUGUAUACAAUUAUUUAUUCAUAUAUAUAAUAUAUAUGUGUGUGUGAACAAAACAACAUCGCCAAGUUCAUUUAAUCUACUUGUCACGUAGAGGAACCGAAGACCAUUAAAGAAAAUAAUAUUUUAAUACAUAUAAAGAAAAUGAAUCGUUUAGCAGACAGACAAAUUGCACGAUUGCGGACUGACGGUUGAUAACGUUAACAGCCGUUCCACCGGUUAGCGAAUAUAAGUAUAAGUACUUCUCAAAACUACCUGGUACUUCGACUGCCACAACCCACUGCAGUUCGCCCAACGUCUAUCGACCACGGACCAUCAUCGACUAUACACUCUUAGUCAGCCUUCGCGACCAGCACAUCCUCAAGUUCAUCAUUUCACUAUCAUUGCGCAGGAAACAAUACUGUUUAGAAUACAGAUGACCUUGCCCAAAAAACAUGUGUCGAGACAUCUGUACCAGCGCAUGACUCGGGCGCGUGCCCGCGUUCAUCACGCGCCUUUCAUUUUCUUGCAGUAUUCGAAUGCUGCCCAAUUGCACAUGCGGACGUAACACAAAUUUCGCGUGAAAAAGCGUCACGGUAUUUAUUAUGUUAAUAAUAGUACAGAAUGCAUAACAUUUUAAUAUCAUAAAAUAAUCAAAUAUUGUUUUAUUUAAAAACAAAUUUUAUUUUAGUUGAUAUUUCUUACCCAAUAUUAUAUAAGAUGUCUUUAAUAAUAAUUAGAAACAUCUUGUAUUUCGAGUAUAAAAUAUGUAUUAUAAUUUUACUAUAAAAUUACAUUAUAAAAAUGGUAAUAUUUGCUCGACGAUUUUGUUGAAUAUAAAAUGCAUUCAGCGAAGACAUUUUUAAGCAUCGACCUAAAGUACCAAUUAGAUUUUACUACCUGUAGGCUGUAACCACUCCCAGAAUUUAAAAUCAAAGCAUAUUUACUGCCCCAAAAUGUGACGAAAGACAGUAAAAAUACACAUCGUUUUAAAAUCAAUACAUUUAUCGUUCCGAAAAUUCUGUUUAAGUAAAACAUUUCAGUGACUCACGACGAAACACAAGUUCUUAGGUGUCAAGUUCAAUAGCGUUUUUAUUUUUAGGAUCCAUGACAUUGAAAACGAUUACUUACGGUGGGAUAUUAUAUCGUGAUAAAUAAUUAAAUAAAUAUAAUAUUAUGAACGGUUUCCAACGAUCUUCUUAAAACUUAAAGUAUUUUUUCACACCAUGAUUUGGCAACAACAAAUUAUUGAGACGUUUUAAAUGCGUCUGUGUUCGUAAAUCAUCUCAUUGUUUUGGGUUAACUAUUUUUAUAAGCAGCUAAACAGCCACGUGUAUAUUAUAGCAAAGAAAUUAAAACCCCACUCUUAUUACUGUAAUACUGGUCGCGUGGAUAUCAGUUCAGGGGCGGCUCGUCAACGGAGACUUUGAAACUGCGUCUAUCGUUAAAAAAAAAAAACCAGCAUCUUCUAAACAAUAACAAUUUAUAAAAGUAUUUUUAUCUGAAUUGAAAAAUAUAUCGUUUUUGUUUGUUUAUUAUUAUUGAAAUUCGAAGGGCACACAAUCUAAAAACCUAAUAGUUAUUUCGAUGGAAAUAUUUUUUUCAGUCAUUUGGAGUUGAACGACGGCAGCUGAUUCAACGAAACUGCCGCCCGAUAGUUUCAAUCGUAACAUCGCUGGUUGGACGGAUGCGGCCGGCGAGAAUAAGCCGCGUAUUAUAGACACUAUUGAAAGUGGGUUCGCGACAGUAUAAUAAGCCGUGCCGUCGCGCCGUCGUUGGUCACUGUACGCCGUAAUAACUAAUUAUAUUUCAUAAUAUUAUUAUAUACUAUCUAAUAUAAUUUCGUAGAGAGUGUUAUAUUGACAGAUGAGUUUGCAGAUAAAAUAGAUCGCAGAAUGAAAUUAACGUAUUAAAACAUUUAAUCCAUUAUGUCAUUAAACAGUAUAAAAUAUGCAUGCAUAAUGUGUAUAUACAAUUAUUUAGCUGUUUAAGUAUUAAGUAAAUAAGUUAUAAUAUUAAUACAAAGUUAACAUUGAUUAAAUAUGUAUAUUUAUAUAUUUUAUGUAUAUUUAAUCAAUGAAGUUAAUGACAAUUAAUUAGUAGCUUUGGCUUUUAACGAGACUUAUUCACACGAAAAUGUGGCUGUGUUAAAAUUAUUGGUUUAAAUGUAUUAAAAUAUUCAAUAAUAUUAUUGAAAAUGUUUGUUUAUAUAUUAUAAUGUAUUUGUUACAUAAAAUAAAAUAAUUAUUAAGACUGUAAUAAUUGUCUGAAUAAUAUUAAAGCAUGUUAUUUAGACUAAUAAAAAUAUUUCAUAUAAAUGUAAAAUUGGAGAAUAUCUACAUCAUAAUAUAUCAAUAUCAUAAUCUCUAAGACUGAGAUCCGUAUAUUAACAAAAAAUCUUCUCAAACAAUAUUAACAAAAAUCAAUUGAUGAUUUUUAAUUCCAGUUAAAGUAAAACAGAAACAAUAGUUAGAUAGAUUAAAACAGAUAAUAAAAUAACACAGAUAUUUUCAGACGAAUUACAUCUAAAUGACGCAAUCGAAAGUUUUUGACCAAUUGCAGGUAUUACAUUUUACGCACAUAUUAUUUAGAAUCUAGAAAUGCAUCAAAUGUUUUCUUUAUCUAAUAUUAUAUUUGAACAUUUAAUACAAGAUUCUUCAUAAGCAUAAGUAAUUCAGCAGCAGUAAAAUUCUGUCCAGCUUCUAUAUUGCGAAAACAUACAUUUUAAAUGUAAUAAUAUUAUAUUAUCUAAACUUAAUAGAUAAUAUGAAUUUUUCGGUCGCACUACUAUAAGGAAAUAAAAUAAAUACGCGAUGAAUGUAACAGUCUUACAUUAAUAUUAAUAAGUAAUAACUACCUAUAAUGUUCUUAAAUAACUUAUAUGGCUAUGUCAAAAGUAUCAAUAAUAUCAUUAGUAUUAACAGCAUUAAAGUUUGUAAUAAAUUAUCUUUUUCACGUUUAUAAUCUUAUUAUUAAUGUUUUUUUUACGUACAAUACUAUUAUUAUAUAAUAAAUUUUACUCUCCAUAAAUUAUUAAUUUAUAUGAAAAUAAAUAUUAUCACGUUAGACUCGACAUACGAGUACAACCGUACAUGGUCGAUAUGAUUUUUUUUCACCUACAUAUUAUACGAAUGUGAUUUUACAACCAUUCGGUUUGACCUAAUUAUUUAUAAAUAAAUAUAUAUUAUAUACAAUAUAUUAUUCAGUAUAUCCAGUAUAUAAGAAUAUAGUUUUAAUGUGCUAUAAUAAUAUAUCGAUGAUUAGCUCAACUGCUGUAGUAACGAUUUUAA